rnacentral:rRNA from 1 species
UCUGUUCACAGUUUCAUAGUGUCAUUUAACUGUGUGUCAAACUUCCUAGAAAAGCUCGAACUACGUUAAAUCAAUGAAUACCUGUACCUUAAACCGACACAGGUAGGUGGGUAGAGUAUACCUAGGGGCUCGAGAUAACUCUCUCUAAGGAACUCGGCAAAAUGGCCCCGUAACUUCGGGAGAAGGGGUACCUAGCGUGUCAAAAACGCUGGGUCGCAGUGACCAGGCCCAGGCGACUGUUUACCAAAAACACAGGUCUCCGCUAAGUCGUAAGACAAUAUAUGGGGGCUGACGCCUGCCCAGUGCCGGAAGGUGAAGGAAGUCGGUUAUUCUUCGGAAGAAGCUGACAACCGAAGCCCCGGUGAACGGCGGCCGUAACUAUAACGGUCCUAAGGUAGCGAAAUUCCUUGUCGGGUAAGUUCCGACCCGCACGAAAGGCGUAACGAUCUGGGCACUGUCUCGGAGAGAGACUCGGUGAAAUAGACAUGUCUGUGAAGAUGCGGACUUCCUACACCUGGACAGAAAGACCCUAUGAAGCUUGACUGUAGCCUGGAAUUGGGUUUGGGCUCUUCUUGCGCAGCCUAGGUGGUAGGCGAUGAUCAGUUCCUUCCGGGGAACUGUGAGCCAUCAGUGAGAGACCACUCUGGAAGAGCUAGAAUUCUAAUGGCGAUCCUUGAAUAAGGACGCUUGACAGUUUCAGGUGGGCAGUUUUUCUGGGGCGGAAACCUCCCAAAAGGUAACGGAGGCGUGCAAAGGUUCCCUCAGUCUGGACGGAAAUCAGACGAAGAGUGUAAAGGCAGAAGGGAGCUUGACUGCAAGACCUACAAGUCGAGCAGGGGCGAAAGCCGGCCUUAGUGAUCCGACGGUACCGAGUGGAAGGGCCGUCGCUCAACGGAUAAAAGUUACUCUAGGAUAACAGGCUGAUCUUCCCCAAGAGUCCACAUCGACGGGAAGGUUUGGCACCUCGAUGUCGGCUCAUCGCAACCUGGGGCGGUAGGACGUCCCAAGGGUUGGGCUGUUCGCCCAUGAAAGCGGUACGUGAGCUGGGUUCAGAACGUCGUGAGACAGUUCGGUCCAUAUCCGGUGUAGGCGUUAGAGCAUUGAGAGGAGCUUUCCAUUGUACGAGAGGACCUGGAAGGACGCACCUCUAGUAUACCAGUUCUCGUGCCAACGGGAUACGCUGGGUAGCCAAGUGCGGAGCGGAUAACUGCUGAAAGCAUCUAAGUAGGAAGCCCACCUCAAGAUGAGUGCUCUCGUACACACCCUGGUGUGUCAGAGGUCACGGCAAGACAAGCCGUUUGAUAGGUGUCAGGUGCAAGGCCAGCAAUGGUUGCAGCCGAGACACACUAAUAGACCGACUGA